GAUGAACGCUAGCUACAGGCUUAACACAUGCAAGUCGAGGGACCGGCGCACGGGUGAGUAACACGUAUCCAACCUGCCCUUUACUCGGGGAUAGCCUUUCGAAAGAAAGAUUAAUACUCGAUGUAAAGGAGGGGGAUGCGUUCUAUUAGGUUGUUGGUGUGGUAACGGCUCACCAAGCAUUCGAUGUAUAGGGGUUCGGAGAGGAAGGUCCCCCACAUGGGAACUGAGACACGGUCCAAACUCCUACGGGAGGCAGCAGUGAGGAAUAUUGGUCAAUGGGCGUUAGCCUGAACCAGCCAAGUAGCGUGAAGGAUGAAGGCUUAUGGGGCUUAAACUUUUUGUAUAUAAGAAUAGGUAUUAUAUGAAUAAGGAUCGGCUAACUCCGUGCCAGCAGCCGCGGUAAUUC
rnacentral:rRNA from 1 species